rnacentral:rRNA from 1 species
UACGGGGGGGGGCAAGCGUUUGUUCGGAAUUACUGGGCGUAAAGGGCUCGUAGGCGGCCUGCUAAGUCGAACGUGAAAUCCCCGGGCUCAACCCGGGAACCUGCGUCCGAUACUGGCAGGCUUGAAUCCGGGAGAGGGAUGCGGAAUUCCAGGUGUAGCGGUGAAAUGCGCAGAUAUCAGGAAGAACACCCGUGGCGAAAGCGGCUCUCUGGAACGGUACUGACGCUGAGACGCGAAAGCGUGGGGAGCGAACAGG